GUUUCUGUAGUGUAGCGGUUAUCACGUGAGUCUCACACACUCAAGGUCCCCGGUUCGGACCCGGGCGGAAACA
rnacentral:tRNA from 1 species